AUCAGGUAGGACUACCCGC
rnacentral:rRNA from 2 species